UACGGAGGGUGCUAGCGUUGUUCGGAAUUACUGGGCGUAAAGCGCGUGUAGGCGGCCCGCUAAGUCUGAUGUGAAAGCCCCGGGGCUCACCCCCGGAAGUGCAUUGGAGACUGGCGGGCUCGAGUCCCGGAGAGGAGGGUGGAAUUCCUGGUGUAGCGGUGAAAUGCGCAGAUAUCAGGAGGAACACCGGUGGCGAAGGCGGGUCUCUGGGCCGAUACUGACGCUGAGGAGCGAAAGCGUGGGGAGCGAACAGG
rnacentral:rRNA from 1 species